AUUGAACGCUGGCGGCAGGCUUAACACAUGCAAGUCGAGCGAGCGGCGGACGGGUGAGUAAUGUCUGGGAAACUGCCUGAUGGAGGGGGAUAACUACUGGAAACGGUUGCCAAUACCGCAUACCAUCAGCUGGGCCCAGAUGGGAUUAGCUAGUGGGUGGGGUAAUGGCUCACCAAGGCGACGAUCCCUAGCUGGUCUGAGAGGAGGACCAGCCACACUGGAACUGAGAAACGGUCCAGACUCCUACGGGAGGCAGCAGUGGGGAAUAUUGCACAAUGGGCGAAAGCCUGAUGCAGCCAUGCCGCGUGUGUGAAGAAGGCCUUCGGGUUGUAAAGCACUUUCAGCGAGGAGGCGUUACUCGCAGAAGAAGCACCGGCUAACUCCGUGCCAGCAGCCGCGGUAAUUC
rnacentral:rRNA from 1 species